rnacentral:other from 1 species
AAUCCCCUGCUGUGCCCGUGAUGUAGCUUUUGCGUUUUGUACCAACACGAGAUUUAAGGCACCCAUAUUCGCGAAAGGGAUGUGAUAGGCCUGAGCCAAGACUGAACUUUCGGAGCGGGAGCCACCUACGAAAGUAGGUUCAAAACUUUGCUACACACGACACGGCGGGGACUUU